AUUGAACGCUGGCGGCAGGCCUAACACAUGCAAGUCGAACGAGUGGCGGACGGGCGAGUAAUGUCUGGGAAACUGCCUGAUGGAGGGGGAUAACUACUGGAAACGGUAGCUAAUACCACCUAACAUCGGAUGUGCCCAGAUGGGAUUAGCUAGUAGGUGGGGUAAAGGCUCACCUAGGCGACGAUCCCUAGCUGGUCUGAGAGGAUGACCGGCCACACUGGAACGGAGCCACGGUCCAGACUCCUACGGGAGGCAGCAUUGGGGAAUAUUGCACAAUGGGCGCAAGCCUGAUGCAGCCAUGCCGCGUGUAUGAAGAAGGCCUUCGGGUUGUAAAGUACUGUCAGCGGGGAGGCGUUACCCGCAGAAGAAGCACCGGCUAACUCCGUGCCAGCAGCCGCGGUAAUUC
rnacentral:rRNA from 1 species